rnacentral:rRNA from 1 species
GUCAAGUCAUCAUGGCCCUUACGCCCAGGGCUACACACGUGCUACAAUGGCGCUUACAGAGUGUUGCGAGCAGGUGACUGCGAGCCAAUCACAAAAAGAGCGUCUCAGUUCGGAUUGCAGGCUGCAACUCGCCUGCAUGAAGUUGGAAUCGCUAGUAAUCGCGCAUCAGCAAUGGCGCGGUGAAUACGUUCCCGGACCUU